rnacentral:tRNA from 1 species
UUUGAUAGAGCUUAGUGGUUAGAGCUUAGGCCUUGUGAUCAAAAGGUCACGGGUUCGAAUCUCGCCAGAG